UUAGGGCCAACGCACACCCCGGCUGCCGCGGACCCGUAAGGCCGUGGGAUCCUCGCACCAACGCGAAGAUGGCCCCGUGCCCGAGGGGACAUAGUGGGGCAUAGGAGAAAUUGGAGGUGGCAGUAAAUGCAGGGGUAAAGAGGAAAACUGAAAAGAACAACAACAACAAAAAAAACCACGCAUACAAGCUUUCUGCUCUGAUCACUUCUUUGGAUUGCCAUUCUCUUGUCAGGUCUCCCACAUAAACGUAAAAAUUCAAUUAAAUGAGGUGGGGCUUACCUCACAAAGCUCUGCUGGGGUCAUACUAAGAUAGCCCAAGCCAGUGCCAGGGCCUGCAGGCACAGUGAGAUCCAGCAGGCAGAAAUCGGUGGUGAGUAGCUGGCAGGUGAGU